CAGUGAAAUUCCUGACAGCUCUCUGUGUGGUUUAACAGAAACCAACAAAUCUUUUGUUUGCCCAAAUGUGACAUCAAAUACAUCAACUAGCCUAUACUCGGAUUGCCAGUACCUAGCUGCUGUACCCACAGGACCUCGUAUGCUACAACAGGGUAAACAGGAAGAGCAGUCAUGCAAAAGCAGACAGCUAAAGGAGAACAUGAAAGGCCAGGUCUGUAUGUGACUCAGCUGUGGAAAAUAGGAGGAGGAAGAACAUCAUGCCUGAAAUAAAAACUCUGCCAGAGAACAAGGCCGGAUUCAUCCCAGAAAUACUCAGAUAAAGGCAGUGGAAUGAAAUCAAAUGAAACAAGCAUUGACUGCCAAGUGGAGUGUU